rnacentral:rRNA from 1 species
UCUUGGUCAUUUAGAGGAAGUAAAAGUCGUAACAAGGUAUCUGUAGGUGAACCUGCAGAUGGAUCAUUUCGAUGAAAACCUUUUUUUCUGAGGUGUGGCUCGCACCUGUCCAACUAAACUUGAGCUACCCUUUUACAACACGGUUGCAUCGGUCGGCCUGUCAAACAGCGCGCGCGAAUGUGCGUCUGGGCGACGAGUCGGCACUUUACACAAACACUUUUGAUAAUCUAGGAUUUGAAGGAAAAAAGUUUCAUUUUUACGAUGAAAUCCGACUGGUAAUGCGGUCGUCUAAAUCUAAAAACAACUUUUGGCAACGGAUCUCUUGGUUCUCCCAUCGAUGAAGAACGCAGCGAAUUGCGAUAAGUAAUGUGAAUUGCAGAAGUGAAUCAUCGAAUCUUUGAACGCACCUUGCGCUCCCGGCAGAUCUAAUCUGGGGAGCAUGCCUGUUUGAGGGCCGCGAAUUGUUUCGAACGUCGCCUUUUUUUCACGAAAAAGGAGACGGAUCGGUAGUGAGGGUUUUUGCCAUUUACCGUGGCUCCCUCGAAAUGCAUUAGCGCAUCCAUUUGAUAGGCAAAGACGGACGAAAGCUCGCCUUUUGGCCCUUUCUUCCCUGCCGGGUUUUGAUAAUAUCAGGACUUCGGAGACGAAGAAAGGGUCUGAGCUGGACGCAACGACUUUGCUGGUUGGCGUGCUUCUGAACCCCGCCCAUGCCUUCUCGCUUCGGCGAAAGGGAAGGGAUUUUUACAAAUUCAUCGGCCUCAGAUUGGUAGGACUACCCGCUGAACUUAAGCAUAUCAAUAAGCGGAGGAA